AAUCCAUCGUGAGGGCAUCGCCUGAGUAGGUCUUUAUAUCGCUCCCAAGCCUCGUAAAGUGUUUCACCCUCCAAUUGAGAAAAAUUUGAAAUUUCAUUGCACAUCUU
rnacentral:snoRNA from 1 species